CAUGAAGUAGGAGGUAUAUUUAAGUAUUAACUUGAAUGUAUUACAGCACUUGCUUGGCUGUAUGAAAUGAGCAUUUGAGGUCCACUAACUCAUCUGCUGAAGUGAAGGUCAGCAGUCAUGAGUUCUCUAAGAGUGCAGCUGUAGCAGAAAUGCUAAGUCAGAGCUUGAAGCAAUGAUGGAGCACCUGGUGGGAAGACAGGGCCAACCCAGGGGAGCUCAGCUGUGUGCAAUGUUCUGUGUGAUGGAAGGGCUGCAGCCAGGAUCCAUUCCUGCCCAGACCUCAUUUAAGGGUUGGCAGUGGAGGAAAGGGUAUCUUCCUUGAGGUCCCUGCACAUCUGAAGCUUUCUAAAGGAAAAUUUUGCUGCACAGCAAUGAGUAGUAUCAGCAUCAAGGACUUUGUUGAACUGCCUUGAGCAUAUUUAUUUCUUGCCUGCCUCUUCUCAGCGCACCUCAGAGACGUAAUUGCUUUGUCUGACCAAUGGAGUCAGACAUCGUUUGUUUGCCAGCACCAUGAAAAAAGAGGAAAUGUUUACCUCUGUUACAAAACAUAGCAAGCCUGAUUCUGAUUUCAACUGCACUGGGUUUGCACAAAUCUAUCUCUAUGGAGCCACAUUUCUGUUAAUCCAGCUUUACUUUUACUUUAUUAUAUAUUUUAGUUUCAGCUGGGUCGAUGUUUUUAAAUAAGGAUGUGAUAAAACCAACUCUCCUAGCCAAGAUGAACACAGCAAGAUGAAACCAUCAUCGCUAUUUUGGAUACAUUUAACAGUAACCACUAUGAAGUAGAAAUGCAAGUAAGUUUGGAUGGGUAAAUUUUUCACGCGAAUGACAUUUGCAAGUCAGUCCCUAAGAGAAAUGUCAGCAUCCCCUUCAGUCUUGGCUGCACCACAAGAAAAACAGACAACUGCCUAAUGUGGGUCCAGUCACCAACUCGUUUUGUAAUGGUGGUGGGGGAAGAAUGCUGCAACUAUUGGGCUGGAUCAGACCUGGUAAUUCUCUGGUGCGUAUGUCAGGCUGCGAUAACAGCUACCUUCGCAAGGCUGAGCUUGGAUGGCUGCAGUGUCCCUGUGAGCUGGGGCGAUCUUGGUCUUUAGGCUCUUUUUCUCUGUUCUUUGCAUAAAACCUUCAAGGGGACUGUUUUAGCUUAAAUAAAAUCUCUAGAACUUAUCUUUUCAUUUGAAUGCUUCUCUCCUGAAGCGACUUCCUUCAACAGAGGGGGAUUUCAGCCAGGAUUUACUUUGAUUCUCAGGCCAACAGGAAUAAAUCUCUAUCUCAUGAUUUCUCUCCCCGCCUCUGCCUGCAAACAGAUGGAAGACAAAACUUCAGUGUUUACUACAUGGCUCUGUGGUAUGGAGUGGAAAGCAGAAAUACUUCCAGACUUCCUCUGGACUGGUGGUAUUCUGACCUCUGUGGCUCUGUCCUUGCUCAGCAUCUGUCACCUCAGUACAAAUCUCUGUAGUAAUCUGCUACGACAAGACCUGGAUCUUGCUUUUCAUUUGCCAUGUAUUUUGCACUGCUGAGAGGGGGGGGUAAACAAAAGGUUAUAAUCCAAACGGUGUGAGCAGAGACCAUGGCAAGGAUAUAGAAAGAUGUAAAAGCAGCUGCUAUCAACCAUCCUGAGCGGGCCAGAGCCCUGGUGAGAGGCAAGCAUCUGUACAGGAGAGUUGGAGGCAGAGUGGACUUUCCUGCCUCUUGGAAAGCAACAGCAGGCAUCUGCCCAUAGGAACAAUUGUCUGUAUGUUUCAUUGCAGGUGGUUUCAGUGUCUCCCUAGCCUCUCCUGUGAAGCUGCUGGGUUUAUGAGCCCACUGUGCUGUCUGAGGUGAUAAACCAGGCAAUGUAACACAUUUGCUCUGUGAGGCAACAGUGGUGCUGACAAUGCUGGAAACCAAAUGCAUCGCAAGCUGAGCGGACAACAGUUUUGCCUGCAACUUCAAAUGAACCUGAAUUUAGCCUCUGGGAGCACCACACCCCAUUCUGAGCAUCCAGGACCCACUCCUGUGCUCCACACAGAGCAAUGACAUUGCUACUGUCAAGCCCUCCUGGGCCAGGGCCUCUUUCUGCUCCUUGCAGGCUGGUUCCUGUCACGCUGACAUCAGCAGCCUGCUCAGCCUGCCUGCUGCUCAUGCACUGUGUCACUGGCCUGUCAUUUCUGUUUCCAGUUACAGUUCAUCCCAAUAAAGUCAUGACUCACUGGGGGAAAAGCAGAGUCUGCAAGCAGUGCUGGAGCCAAGGCUUUGCUCAGCUGUUGCUAAUGCUUCACUGGUGGCUGACGCUGAGCCAAGACUGAUGCAGGACAGCUGGCAGUGGAAUCACCUCUCUUGUCACAUUAAGCAUCGUGAAAUGAGGUUAGCACAAUUUUACAUGUCCUGAGAUAACGAUGCUUUCCCAGCCCACUUAUUUUCAUCUGAAUUUGUGAAAAUCAGCAAGUAGUCAGGACCACAGCAAGCACAGGUUCCAGAUCCUGUGAGGUGGUGCUCACUGCUGUUUAGGGAAGAGGUUUUUGCUUCAGUGUGAUGGCAAAUGCGUUGUGUGGCUGGAUGGACAGCCAAGUAGUCUGUGAUCUCUCAGUUACAGCCUGGUUCCUGCAGUGUUUAUGCAGUUAAGGUGCUUAUGUCCUGGGCUGUACCAGUAGGUGUAGGGCAGUGACAGAAAAUGUGCACGGGGAAAGUCCUGCCUACUUCUCCAGCCAGGUCAAAAUAUAUUUCACUGCUUGCAUUUUUGCAAUCACAAGAAACCAUAUAAACAAACAUUGUACCUUUAAAUCCACUGUAAUUCUACUUUGUAAACAUCUAAUUACUAAUUAUACGCAUGUAAUCACUGGCAUAUAAUCACUAAUUAUCUCUAGAUACACCACCUGUUUUUGCUGUAGAGCAUCAGUAUGCUCUCCUGAGGCUAGGAACAAGGCUGUGUGCAGGGAGAUUGAAGGGGAGACCACUUCAGGUCUGGAGAAAGAAGCAGAGGCCAGGUUUCCCAAAGGGAAAUUUUCUGAACUCCUGUUUCACAAUUGUUAUUUGCUAACGUUUUGACUACCAGCUCAUUUCAGGACAAAAAUCCAACGUGUAGAGAAUUUCCUAUAGAUUUAGUUCAGCACUGAGCAAAUCUGGAAGCAAAAGGCAUUGCUCCAUUUCAGAAGUAUUCUUGGAAUAACCCAGCACAGAAGAUUAUAGAUCUGUUCUAACAUUAGGUAAGUGUUCUCAGUUAGCGUGGAGACUGAGAGCAUGCUGAAGUCAAUCUGUAUGUGUUGUUAGAAGGAAUACACUCUAGGAGUAGAACAGAAUUCUGAAACAGAUAUGAACAUUCUAUGAACCUGCUUUCCCUUGUGGCUUUAACAUGAAAUGAUGAAUAGGCUUUUGACAAUCAAAUGUUUUUUCUUUGACUUUGCUGAAAUAUUUCAUUAAAAUUGCCACCCUACUUUAUAGCAGCUUGUCAGAUGCUGCCUGUGCCUGUGAUGAAAUCUUUCACCAGUACCUGAUGUAAAGGCUUAUUUCCCACCUCAUAUUUCUUCCAUAUUAGAUACCCAUCCUGCCUUCUUUGCCAGGUUCCAGCAGCACAAAGUAUGCCCUUCUAGUCUCACCCAUUUACUUAUCUCGUCCACUGUAGCGUAUCCAACACAAAGCAGAGCUGACAGGGUCUGUAUUGCCUUGUUUAACUACAGGUGUGUAGGGCAGCACAACUGCCAAACCAGAUGUGCCCAGAUUGGGCCCAGUCAAAUAAAUGGCACGUUCAUAGGCUCCCACAUAAACUCAUAUGCUUGGGAACAAAGACAUUCCUGUGAGUAAACUCUGUUCUGGAAAACUGAUUUUAAAUCAGCUGAACAUCAGCUCCCAGCAUGACUCUGUGGUGAAGACAAUUUUCACCAGUUCUUUGAUGUCUCAACAGACAUAUCAAACGUGACUACAUAUGGAUGUAUUUAACAUUGCUGUACUAUUGCCAUGCUGUCAUCAAUUCUAGCUGCCUGCGUUUCCAAAAACUGCCAUCCCUCCAGACACAAUCAUAGCAGAAAGACUGGAAAACUGUCUGUGGUUUCUUCUCAAGGACAACAACACAACCUUUGUCACGUCAAAGAAAAGGUUACAUACAAUUUGAUCACAGUCUGUAAA